UACGGGGGGGCAAGCGUUGUUCGGAAUUACUGGGCGUAAAGGGCGUGUAGGUGGCCAACUAAGUCAGACGUGAAAUCCCUCGGCUUAACCGGGGAACUGCGUCUGAUACUGGAUGGCUUGAGUGUGGGAGAGGGAUGCGGAAUUCCAGGUGUAGCGGUGAAAUGCGUAGAUAUCUGGAGGAACACCGGUGGCGAAGGCGGCAUCCUGGACCAUUACUGACACUGAAACGCGAAAGCCAGGGGAGCAAACGGG
rnacentral:rRNA from 1 species